GAGGCCAUGGAGGGACAUUCC
rnacentral:misc_RNA from 1 species